CAUCGAUGAAGAACGCAGCGAAAUGCGAUAAGUAAUGUGAAUUGCAGAAUUCAGUGAAUCAUCGAAUCUUUGAACGCACAUUGCGCCCUCUGGUAUUCCGGAGGGCAUGCCUGUUCGAGCGUCAUUUCAACCCUCAAGCCUGGCUUGGUGAUGGGGCA
rnacentral:rRNA from 1 species